GACGAACCGUGCGAACGUUGUUCGGAAUCACUGGGCUUAAAGGGCGCGUAGGCGGACUGCCAAGUCCGGGGUGAAAUCCUCCGGCUUAACCGGAGAAUUGCCUGGGAUACUGGCGGUCUUGAGGGAGGUAGGGGCACGCGGAACUUCCGGUGGAGCGGUGAAAUGCGUUGAUAUCGGAAGGAACGCCGGUGGCGAAAGCGGCGUGCUGGCCCUCUUCUGACGCUGAG
rnacentral:rRNA from 1 species